rnacentral:tRNA from 1 species
AGAGCAUAUGAACUACAUAUUAAGUACCUACAAUUAUCGAUUGUUAUUUAGCUGAGAUUGGUAGUAAGCAGGGUUGCGACAGAUUCUUCAUUGGGGUUUGCCCAGAGUUAUGCUAACCCUAUAAAUGCAUGGGUCUGUAGCUCAGCUGGUUAGAGCACCGUCUUGAUAAGGCGGGGGUCGUUGGUUCAAGUCCAACCAGACCCACCAUCUGUUUGAGUAAUACCUUUCUGUAGUACUAUGGGGGUGUAGCUCAAUUGGGAGAGCGCCUGCUUUGCAAGCAGGAGGUCAUCGGUUCGAUCCCGUUCACCUCCACCAAGUUAGAAUUUAAUUUUUAGGCUUGUUUCAACAAGUUUAAAAACUAAGUUUUAUUAGCUGAUUGUUCUUUAAAAAUCUAGAAGAGACGCAACAUAAAUAUGUAUGGAUUUUACAUUUUGUAUAAUCUAUACGAUUAGGGUUGUGAUUGCAUUAAUUAUAAUUAUGUUCUU